rnacentral:rRNA from 1 species
GCUCAGAUUGAACGCUGGCGGCAGGCCUAACACAUGCAAGUCGAACGGUAACAGGAAGCAGCUUGCUGCUUCGCUGACGAGUGGCGGACGGGUGAGUAAUGUCUGGGAAACUGCCUGAUGGAGGGGGAUAACUACUGGAAACGGUAGCUAAUACCGCAUAACGUCGCAAGACCAAAGAGGGGGACCUUCGGGCCUCUUGCCAUCGGAUGUGCCCAGAUGGGAUUAGCUUGUAGGUGGGGUAACGGCUCACCAAGGCGACGAUCCCUAGCUGGUUUGAGAGGAUGACCAGCCACACUGGAACUGAGACACGGUCCAGACUCCUACGGGAGGCAGCAGUGGGGAAUAUUGCACAAUGGGCGCAAGCCUGAUGCAGCCAUGCCGCGUGUAUGAAGAAGGCCUUCGGGUUGUAAAGUACUUUCAGCGGGGAGGAAGGGAGUAAAGUUAAUACC